GGAAGUGUCGGGAUUACUGGGCGUAAGGGUGCGCAGGCGGCCGCGUGCGUGUGGGAUGAAAUCUCCUGGCUCAACUGGGAGGGGGUCUCGCAAACGGCGCGGCUUGAGGCUCGGCGGGGGGCGUGGAAUUCCGGGUGGAGCGGUGAAAUGCGUAGAGAUCCGGAGGAACACCGACGGCGUAAGCAGCGCCCUGGACGAGUCCUGACGCUCAGGCACGAAAGCUGGGGGAGCAAACAGGAUUAGAUACCCUGGUAGUCCCAGCCCUAAACGAUGUCCACCAGGCGCCGCGGGUAUCGACCCCUGCGGCGCCGCAGCUCACGUGAUGAGUGGACCGCCUGGGGAGUACGGCCGCAAGGUUGAAACUCAAAGGAAUUGACGGGGGCCCGCACAAGCAGCGGAGUGUGUGGUUUAAUUUGAUGCAACGCGCAGAACCUUACCUGGGCUUGACAUGGGCAGGAACCACGGGUAACGCCGUGUCCCUUCGGGGUCUGUCCACAGGUGCUGCAUGGCUGUCGUCAGCUCGUGCCGUGAGGUGUUGGGUUAAGUCCCCUAACGAGCGCAACCCCUGGGGUCCGUUACAGCGCUCUCGGGCCCGACUGCCGCGCGCAACGCGGAGGAAGGUGGGGAUGACGUCAAGUCAGCACGGCCCUGACGUCCAGGGCGACACACACACUACAAUGGCCGCGACAACGGGACGCCAACCCGCGAGGGGGAGCCAAUCCUAACAAACUCGGUCUCAGUUCGGAUGGCAGGCUGCAGCUCGCCUGCCUGAAGCUGGAGUUGCUAGUAACCGUGGGUCAGCAUACCACGGUGAAUACGUUCCCGGGCCUUGUACACACCGCCCGUCACACCACGAAAGCCGGCAACACCUGAAGCCGCUGGGCUAACCCUCCGGGGAGGCAGGCGUCGAGGGUGGGGUCGGUGAUUGGGGUGAAGUCGUAACAAGGUAACCAGACCUU
rnacentral:rRNA from 1 species